rnacentral:rRNA from 1 species
UACGGGGGGAGCAAGCGUUGUUCGGAUUUACUGGGCGUAAAGGGUGCGUAGGCGGCUUGUCAAGUCAGUUGUGAAAUCUCCGAGCUUAACUCGGAACGGUCAACUGAUACUGUCAUGCUAGAGUGCAGAAGGGGCAAUCGGAAUUCUUGGUGUAGCGGUGAAAUGCGUAGAUAUCAAGAGGAACACCUGAGGUGAAGACGGGUUGCUGGGCUGACACUGACGCUGAAGCACGAAAGCUAGGGUAGCAAACGGG